ensembl:lncRNA
CGCCCUUCAACGAAAACUCAAGAUCUUCACAAUUUAACAUCGCAAAGGCCUUUAGAUUAGGCAUACCAAAUUUGGUGUUGAUCUGAAUAAAUCUCUAGGAGGAGUUCGUUAAAAUACAAGGCAUGCAAAUGACAAAAAUGAUGCAAAAUUUGCUCAUAAAAUUAAAAAUAACCGACUUCCUGUUGGGUUUCGGAUAUUGCUCCAAGAGUCUUUUUUGUAGGUACUGAUGCUUUACAUAUGUGUGUCAAUUUUCGUGCAUGUACGUGAAACACAGCUCGAGGGCUGUUGAUUUUUUUACGAUAGGUGGCGCUGUCGAGCCAUUUUGCCACACCCUCUUCUGAAACCUAUAUCAGACGUAAAUUUUCACCAGGUCUGACGCGUGUGCAAAGUUUCAGGACUUUUCGAGCAUGUUUAGGCCCUCAAAAAUGCGAUUCAUUUUGGAGAAGAAGAAGAAGAAGAAGAAGAAGAAGAAGAAGAAGAAUAAUAAACAAAGCAGAUACAAUAGGGUCCUCACACCAUCGGUGCUCGGGCCCUAAUAAAUAUAGCUGCAAGCAGCAAUGGCGGGCUCAAGCCAUCAGCGCAAACGCCACCCCGGUGGCAUCAGGU